UACAGAGGGGGCAAGCGUUAUUCGGAAUUAUUGGGCGUAAAGGGCGCGUAGGCGGCCUGGCAAGUGGAAGGUGAAAUCCCUCGGCUUAACCGAGGAACUGCCCUCCAAACUGCCUGGCUUGAGUCCGGGAGAGGUGAGUGGAAUUCCCAGUGUAGCGGUGAAAUGUGUAGAUACUCGGAAGAACACCAGCGGCGAAGGCAGCAACUUGGUCUGGUAUUGACGCUCAGGCACGAAAGCAUGGGGAUCAAACAGG
rnacentral:rRNA from 1 species